rnacentral:rRNA from 1 species
CCUACGGGAGGCAGCAGUAGGGAAUCUUCCACAAUGGGCGAAAGCCUGAUGGAGCAACGCCGCGUGGGUGAAGAAGGUCUUCGGAUCGUAAAACCCUGUUGUUAGAGAAGAAAGUGCGUGAGAGUAACUGUUCACGUUUCGACGGUAUCUAACCAGAAAGCCACGGCUAACUACGUGCCAGCAGCCGCGGUAAUACGUAGCUGGCAAGCGUUAUCCGGAUUUAUUGUGCGUAAAGGGAACGCAGGCGGUCUUUUAAGUCUGAUGUGAAAGCCUUCGGCUUAACCGGAGUAGUGCAUUGGAAACUGGGAGACUUGAGUGCAGAAGAGGAGAGUGGAACUCCAUGUGUAGCGGUGAAAUGCGUAGAUAUAUGGAAGAACACCAGUGGCGAAAGCGGCUCCCUGGUCUGUAACUGACGCUGAGGUUCGAAAGCGUGGGUAGCAAACAGGAUUAGAUACCCGAGUAGUC